AGAAUUCGGAACUGCUGUCAGAAAUUACAUUAUAAUAAUUAUCAUCAAUAUCAUUUUCUUUAUCACUAUUAUCAUUGUGAUCAUUGUUGUCAGAAUUACAAAUACACCUCUGUUCCAUAAUUUUGCUAAAUGGAAAUUUAAAAUACAUACACUUACAGAGUCAAGCAUAUUUUUCAUGUACAAAGAGGAUUAAUGAAGAGAUGAUGGGGAAGAAAGUGUAAAUCUAUAGAAUGUAUUCAUGUUUUGAGGUAUAAUGUGAAAAUUUAGCUUUGAAAGAAAGCAAUAAAAUUUGCGUUUUGUAAUUUAUACCUAGUUCGACACCCUCUGGGCCAGGACAAGGAACAGAUGCUGUCAAUACAAAUUGCAUCACUUUCAAAUUUAACAUAUUAUCAUCACAGAAUGCUACUUUUUUCAGUCUGAACUUGUAUCCUAGGUAUAUGAAAUAUUAUCUGUUCAUAGAACUUUUUCCCAAUUUGAAUAUAAAUGUACACCAGACCUGUGAUGGAUGAUUAUAGACCUCAUUUUCCUUCUCAGAAAAAAAUAAUUAGUAUUUCUCUUUUGCAAAAAGCAGGAACCAUUCAAAAUUUUACCUAAGAUAGGCAAACUUGUGAUUUAUAAUGUAUAUGUGUUUGUGUAUAAUAUUGAAUUACAGUAGAUUAAGCAGAGUAGUGUGCAUGCAUUUUACACAGCAUUUAAUUGAUAUUCAAAAUAUUUCUUAGAUGAAUGAAUGAAUGCACUCUGAAAGCAUUAGUCUACUUCAGCAGUUUUUGUUAGCAAUUAAGAGAUUGUUCUCCCUGAAGACAUUUAUACUUAAUGUAUAUUUUAAAAAUAGUAUGACACAUUUUUUCAAAUGAAAAGUGUUGUAUGUAUGUGUACAAUUACUUUUUUUAUUAGCUUCCUAAAUAUGAUUCUGCCCAAUAUUUAAUUGCUUCAGUCUUGUAUUCAAAACAUGAAUGAAACAUUCUAAUUUGACAUCCAGGUUUUCAAAAUAACUAAUAGGAAACUUGAAGUAAAGCAACACCUCUCUAAGCUUUGAAUCAUUUUCUACCAAUACUAUUUUCUUAAAAUUAUGUAUUUUAAAAAAUUAAUGGACAGGUAAACAUGGAGCUAAAAUGUUCCCUUUGGAUUUGCAGGCAAUUAUUUCGACUUGCAUCAUGAGAAAAUAAAACACCUUCACACAUGAAAAUGAUUAAGUUUGAAACAAUUGAAAUUUAUGAAGUAUACAUUAAAAAUAAAUGUUCUCGUUCCUCAGAGAACAAAACAUUUUGUUGGUUCCUGGAGUUUCUCUUUCUAAAUUAAGGUUGCUACCAUUUAACUGUCUCAUUUAUUCACUUACAUAUGGGAUUCUUUGAGAAAUCUAAGAUUCACUGAUGUCUUAACAAAUACAGGUGGGUACAUUAUGGAUGAGCGCACAUGUUGAAAUCUAAUAUAGUUUCACUUGGAACUUAUAUUAGAUUCAUUUAGUUUUGGAUACCAAAAAAUAAAUCUUUUAAUUCAUGUCUCUUCAUUUCCCCCAUAUAUUUGCCCCUUCUAUAUAUGACUGACAUAGAAGAUGAAGCUGAAAAUUUACAAUUUCAAGAUAUUCUUAGAAGAUAUCUGGUCUACUUUUUUGAGCUGUUAACAUUUUUCUGAGAGUUAACUUUUCUUGGGAAGAAAUGAAGUGGAAAUAUGGUUGCUGCCUAAGAAGUAAUAAUAGGAGAUACAGGAAGCAGUUUGAAAUGGAAUAGAAACAACUUGUGAUAGAGGACAGAAGCCAUAUCAGAAGUCACGGAAUUAAUUAUGUGAGUCUGGGAUCAGUGAGAGAUGAAAAUUGAGAAGAAAGAAAACUGUAAGACUCUGUGACUUGAAAAAUCCAGGAGAGACAGGCAACUGAAUUGCUACAUUGUAUUUUCUCUUAAACCCAAGAAAAUUCCCUGUGUUAGAACAACUUGAAUGAAAAGAAGAAUAAACAGGUGUCCAACAAUAACAUUUCCAAGAUAGGAAGAAAGCGAGGGUUCAAAACGGAGGAACAUACCAGGAAAGCUGAAAGAAUCCACAGACCCUUUGAAGGAACUGGAUCUCCACUGCAGGCUGCCCGAAAUGCUGAAAAACUGUGUCUGCUUACUUUCUCAGUGGAGAGACUGGUGGUCUGGGGCAAUUUCUCAGCCCUGGCCACCGGCUACCUGGAAAUAGACUUGGUGCUGUUCCAGGGUAACAACGGGAAUGAGAUUGGCCUUAAAGACUGCAGGCUGUGUGGGAGUGGGAUGAGGCUGAGGGCUUUCCCACACUUCCCUGGUGACCUUAUGACUCAGCAGAGGCAGCCAUAAUCAUCCUGGGAACAUAACUCCAUUGGCCUAGAAACCACACUCCAUCCCCUAGAGCAGCUGCAGGGAUCCCCACCCAAGGGAAGUCUGAGCUCAGGCACUCCUAUCCCUGCCCCCACCUGGUGGUCUUUCUCUACCCACCCUGGUUGCCAAAGACAAAGAUCAGAAUCUCUUGGAGGCUCUGUGGCCCUACCCACCACCUGAGGCCUCUCAAUACUUAACCAGGCAAUCAUAGGGCAAGUUUGCAUCCUUCCUAUGAAAUCACAGCUGAUGUGCUCUUGAAAGUGCCACUUCCUGGCUGGAGGCCAACCAACACAAAACAAGUGCACUAAACAAAAAUACAAACCA
rnacentral:lncRNA from 1 species